CAGGGGUCAAUACACGGAGACAGCACUUUCAGCAGUGAUUUCAUUUUCCUCCAAUAUGAAGCUUAGCAUUUCAGAGCUGCAUCUCCUCAUGCAAGCAGUUGUUUUCAAAGCAGCUUCUGUCAAUUCCAAAUGAUUUCUAAUCAGCAAUGUUUGUGCAGGCAAGUGGAGUACAAGCAGAAUUUUAGCUGGCAGAUGAGACUUGCAUUAAUAAAGCAUCCUGUACUUCACACUCAACUGGUGCACAGAUUUCUCUGCAAAACUGACUUCAUGCAUAAUUGAUCUUGCGUUUAUCAAGCUGCAAAAUAUUGUCUGCUUUUUAAAAUUUUCUCAGGAUACUCCACCACUCUGUGCUAUGGGCUACAUGAAACUCCAAAAACUCCUAUCUUUGUCUUUGUACUAGUUACGGUAGUAAUGAACACAUUAUAAAGUUAAAAAGCAAAAAAGCAAUGUGGGUAUUAUCCCUAGUCAGGGAUAUUCUUGAACAUAAAAAAGAAAAUUCACAUAUUAACUGCAAAAGAAAUUGAGACCAAAGAGUCACGAAAUCCAAACUUUUUUAAAGAAGCAAUUGUGUGUUUAAUUCGGAAUGGCUCCUACCCCCAUACACAUCCCAUCCUACCGGGGAAAUACUCCAAAAAUGAUUGCACUAAACCAUGUCUGAAACUGGUGAAAGCCAGAGCAAGGCUGUCCAAUGAGCAGCCUGCUAGGGUUAAUUUGUGGACCCUAGGCUCCUACUUGGCCACUGCUAUGGUCUCCUGGCUCCCUCUCCCUCCUUCCCCUUGCAACGGGUAGUGUUCUACCGCACAGCCCACGGUGCCAGGAGGAUCUGCAGUCCCCAUGAGACACACGCUUGACAUGGUGCAGCAGUCCCUUCCUAAAGUCAGUCUUACCUGUGAAGUCCAGUCCAGGAGGAGAUAUCCAUUUUGGGAAGAUUCACAGUGCCAGGGAUAUAAGCAAUGGAGACAACCAGACUGUUGAAUGCUACAGACACUCGCACUGUUUUGGUGCAACAUCCAACUCAAUUCUCCUCAGCCCGCUCUCACUGUGCAUUUCUUUAUUUGGUUUGAAGUACAUGAGGCACAAACCUUGUCCCAGGUCACUAUGGCUCCACCCCACCCUUCUUCCCCUACACCUGACUCCAUGGGCAAUUUAAUGGCUUUGUGAAUCGCCAGAUGAAAUUGCUUACAACUGAGGCCAUCCAAGGAAGGCUGACUUGAAAGUGUCCAUGGCCCAGUAUCCUCCCUACCCUAAACCAAGUUGCUGGUUACAGUCAAAUU